rnacentral:rRNA from 1 species
GGGUGAUCUGCCUCGCACUUCGGGAUAAGCCUGGGAAACUGGGUCUAAUACCGGAUAUGACCUUUCAGUGCAUGCUGUUGGGUGGAAAGAUUUAUCGGUGCGAGAUGGGCCCGCGGCCUAUCAGCUUGUUGGCGGGGUAACGGCCCACCAAGGCGACGACGGGUAGCCGACCUGAGAGGGUGACCGGCCACACUGGGACUGAGACACGGCCCAGACUCCUACGGGAGGCAGCAGUGGGGAAUAUUGCACAAUGGGCGGAAGCCUGAUGCAGCGACGCCGCGUGAGGGAUGACGGCCUUCGGGUUGUAAACCUCUUUCGACAGGGACGAAGCGCAAGUGACGGUACCUGUAGAAGAAGCACCGGCCAACUACGUGCCAGCAGCCGCGGUAAUACGUAGGGUGCGAGCGUUGUCCGGAAUUACUGGGCGUAAAGAGCUUGUAGGCGGUUUGUCGCGUCGUCCGUGAAAACUUGGGGCUCAACCCCAAG